rnacentral:rRNA from 1 species
UUUCCCCACUGCUGCCUCCCGUAGGAGUCUGGGCCGUGUCUCAGUCCCAAUGUGGCCGUUCAACCUCUCAGUCCGGCUACCGAUCGUCGCCUUGGUGGGCCGUUACCCCGCCAACAAGCUAAUCGGACGCGAGUCCAUCUCUAAGCGAUAAAUCUUUGAUAUCAAAGUCGUGCGGCUUCAAUAUGUUAUGCGGUAUUAGCGAUCUUUUCAGAACGUUAUUCCCCUCUUAGAGGCAGGUUACUCACGCGUUACUCACCCGUCCGCCACUAAGUUAAAAAUCCGUCAUCCCGAAGGAAUCCGUCAAAAUAACUCCGUUCGACUUGCAUGUGUUAGGCACGCCGCCAGCGUUCAUCCUGAGCCAA